rnacentral:rRNA from 1 species
UACGGAGGGUGCAAGCGUUAAUCGGAAUUACUGGGCGUAAAGCGCGCGUAGGCGGCUUAGUAAGUCGGAUGUGAAAGCCCCGGGCUUAACCUGGGAAUUGCAUUCGAUACUGCUGAGCUAGAGUAUGGAAGAGGGAAGUGGAAUUCCGGGUGUAGCGGUGAAAUGCGUAGAUAUCCGGAGGAACACCAGUGGCGAAGGCGACUUCCUGGUCCAAUACUGACGCUGAGGCGCGAAAGCGUGGGGAGCAAACAGG